ACCUCCUUAGUAUCCUUGUCCCAAACAGCACGUCCAUUGCAGAGCCAGUAGGAGGAGUCAACGGGCGACAGUUAGAACAGCGUCUGGCACGUCACAGGCGCUUGUCAGUGGUGCUCUUAUUGUUACUGUGUUUGUCACCGGAGCUCCCAGUGGCAGUGUCGGGACUGAAACCCAGCUCCAGGCCUUUGUCCACAUUGUUCCUUCAGCCUGAAAUGCCCUUCCCACUUCUCUGGCUAACUCCUGCUCCAAUCAAGCAGAGGCCAAGCUUUUCUGACUGCUCCAGGUCGACCCUGUGGCCUUUCCCCUGUGGGGCGCCUACACUCCAACGCAAUGCCUGGUGGCACUGGCUCAUGUGUCUGCCUCCCCCACAGACCAGCUUUCCUGAAGGCGGGACUUGGUCAUUCACAUCUUAUCUGUGGCUCUCAACACAGAACCUGGCACAUAAAUGGGAUCAUUAUUCUUAUUCAUAUUGUUUUCAUGAAGCUAAAGGAGGAGGAGGUCUUGUCCUAUCAGAAAUGAAAAUACACUAUAAAGAUGUAACUGUCAAAACAGUGAGCUACUGACACAGCCGUCAACAGAAAGAUCAAUGCAGUGGAGCCUGUAGCGUGGAGACGGAACCUGGGACAUCUAAGUAUUUUGUAUUUGAUAGACGUUGCUGCACAAAUCAGUAAAUAAAGAAAGACUCAUUCUAGAGAACUGCACAGCUGACCAACUAUUCAGAAUGCUAAAAGCUAGAGCCUUAUGUACACUAUGUUCCAAAAUAAAUCCCAGAUGGGUUAAAGAAACAAAUAAUUUUUAAAAUGAAGCCUUAAAAAGCUAGAAGAAAAUAUAGGUUAAUAUUUCAUCAGCUCUUAGAAUAUGGAAGGACUCUCUAAGAACAAAAUGAGUAAUUUUAAAAAAUCAAUAGAUUUUACUUCAUUAAAAAUAAGAAUUUCCUAAGUGCAACUUGGUAUCCUGGAAUUAGAUUCUGGGACAGAAAAGGAUACUAGUGGAAAACCUGGUGAAAUCCAAUGAAGCAAUUUAGUUAAUAGCCUUGUACUGAUUUAAUGUCUUAAAUUUGACAAAUGUGCUUGAUGUAAGUUACUAACAUCAGGCGAAGCUGGGGACUCUAUGCAACUUUUCUGUAAACCUAAAAUUACACCAAAAUAAAAAGGUAAAAAAAAUUAAGAUACUCGCUAAGACAGAUUAUAAUACAAAUAAAAUAAUAAAGCAAA